rnacentral:rRNA from 1 species
UAGAGUUUGAUCCUGGCUCAGGAUGAACGCUGGCGGCGUGCCUAACACAUGCAAGUCGAACGAAGCGCCUUGAAGUUUUCGGACGGAUGGGUGACUGAGUGGCGGACGGGUGAGUAACGCGUGGAUAACCUGCCUCAUACAGGGGGAUAACAGUUAGAAAUGACUGCUAAUACCGCAUAAGCGCACAGUACCGCAUGGUACAGUGUGAAAAACUCCGGUGGUAUGAGAUGGAUCCGCGUCUGAUUAGCUAGUUGGCGGGGUAACGGCCCACCAAGGCGACGAUCAGUAGGGGUUCUGAGAGGAAGGUCCCCCACACCGGAACUGAGACACGGUCCAGACUCCUACGGGAGGCAGCAGUGAGGAAUAUUGGUCAAUGGGCGAGAGCCUGAACCAGCCAAGUAGCGUGCAGGAUGACGGCCCUAUGGGUUGUAAACUGCUUUUAUGCGGGAAUAAGAUCAGAUACGUGUAUCUGCGUGCAUGUACCGCAUGAAUAAGGACCGGCUAAUUCCGUGCCAGCAGCCGCGGUAAUACGGAAGGUCCGGGCGUUAUCCGGAUUUAUUGGGUUUAAAGGGAGCGUAGGCGGCCUUUUAAGCGUGCUGUGAAAUGUACCGGCUCAACCGGUGAAUUGCAGCGCGGACUGGAGGGCUUGAGUUCACGGAAGGCAGGCGGAAUUCGUGGUGUAGCGGUGAAAUGCUUAGAUAUCACGAAGAACUCCGAUUGCGAAGGCAGCUUGCCGCAGUGUUACUGACGCUGAAGCUCGAAGGUGCGGGUAUCGAACAGGAUUAGAUACCCUGGUAGUCCGCACGGUAAACGAUGGAUGCCCGCUGUUCGCCUAUUGUGGUGAGCGGCCAAGCGAAAGCGUUAAGCAUCCCACCUGGGGAGUACGCCGGCAACGGUGAAACUCAAAGGAAUUGACGGGGGCCCGCACAAGCGGAGGAACAUGUGGUUUAAUUCGAUGAUACGCGAGGAACCUUACCCGGGCUUGAACUGCAGGAGAACGAUACAGAGAUGUUGAGGCCCUUCGGGGCUCCUGUGGAGGUGCUGCAUGGUUGUCGUCAGCUCGUGCCGUGAGGUGUCGGCUUAAGUGCCAUAACGAGCGCAACCCUUGUCCUCAGUUGCCAUCACUUCGGGUGGGCACUCUGUGGAUACUGCCACCGCAAGGUGUGAGGAAGGUGGGGAUGACGUCAAAUCAGCACGGCCCUUACGUCCGGGGCUACACACGUGUUACAAUGGCGCAUACAGAGAGUCGGCCGCCGGCAACGUCGGUCCAAUCCUUAAAAUGCGUCCUAGUUCGGAUUGGGGUCUGCAACCCGACCCCAUGAAGCUGGAUUCGCUAGUAAUCGCGCAUCAGCCAUGGCGCGGUGAAUACGUUCCCGGGCCUUGUACACACCGCCCGUCAAG